AUUAAGUUACCGCCCUUGUUAAAAUGGAGUCUGCAGAAAACGUGAAACCCGGCGGGAGAUGAUUAUUUGGUUAUUGACAUGCAAAAAGACAGAUUUUUAGGAAUGUGCAGUCAGCAAUAAAAUAAAGCAGUAUGACGUCCAUUAUAAAACUUCAGCCAUUCUCUGGUGCUCACAAUGAGUCACCUCCCUGCUACAUGCUACAGGUGGAUGAAUUCAGAUUCCUCUUGGAUUGUGGUUGGGAUGAGGAUUUUAGCAUGGAGUUCAUCAAGGAGAUUAAAAGGCAUGCUCAUCAGAUUGAUGCCAUCCUCCUGACGUAUCCUGAUCACAUUCACCUGGGUGCUCUACCAUACCUUAUUGGAAAGGGCAUUCUGAACUGUCCCAUUUAUGCAACUAUUCCUGUGUAUAAAAUGGGACAGAUGUUUAUGUAUGAUUUAUAUCAGGUGUGUAUUAUUUUAUUGAACUAAAUUUUGUUUAAAGUUAUAUGCUAUUAGUGUUAAGAUGUUCCUGAAUUUUUUUUACUGAAAUUUUAGAUACUUGGUAUAUAUAUGUAUUCACAGUCUAUUCGGAACUUACACAUAUUUUUCCCAAUCUCUAGUCUCGCCACAAUACAGAAGACUUCAAUGUGUUUACUCUUGAUGAUGUUGAUGUUGCAUUUGAUAAGAUAGUGCAACUCAAGUACUCACAAACAGUCCAUUUAAAAGGCAAGGGACAUGGUAUACAAAUAACCCCUCUACCUGCUGGUCACAUGCUGGGAGGUACAAUCUGGAAAAUCAUCAAAGAUGGUGAAGAAGAAAUUGUCUAUGCUGUAGAUUAUAAUCACAAAAAAGAAAGGCAUUUAAAUGGCUGUGUGUUGGAGAAUAUUUCCAGACCUUCUCUAAUGAUAACUGAUGCUUUCAACGCUACAUAUGUCCAGUCCCGACGCAGAGCAAGAGACGAACAGUUAUUAACAACAAUUCUGCAGACAAUGAGGAAUGAUGGGAAUGUUUUGGUUGCCGUGGAUACAGCUGGUCGAAUGCUGGAGCUGGCUCAGCUGUUGGACCAGAUGUGGAGAAACGCAGAGUCAGGCCUCUCUCCUUACUCCCUCGCCCUGCUCAACAAUGUCAGCUUCAAUGUGGUAGAAUUUGCAAAAUCUCAGGUGGAGUGGAUGAGCGACAAGAUCAUGAGGUCUUUUGAGGAAGCCAGGAAUAAUCCUUUCCAUUUUAAACAUGUCAAACUGUGCCACAACUUAGCCGAGCUGGCCCGGAUACCAGAGCCCAAGGUUGUUUUGGCGAGUGUUCCUGAUUUACAGUGUGGGUUUUCCAGGGACCUGUUCCUUGCCUGGUGUGGGAGUCCCAAGAACAGCAUUAUCCUCACCAACAGGACGUCACCGGGAACACUGGCUCGAUGGCUGAUAGACAACCCAGAAAACAAAACAGUCACCAUGGAUAUCAGAAGAAGAGUAAAGUUAGAAGGAGCAGAACUAGAUGAUUAUCUGCGGAAGAGAAAAAACAAAGAACAAGAGGAACUGCGAAUCAAGAAUGAACAGAAGAGAGAGCUUGAGGAUGAGUCGAGUGACGAGAGCGAAACAGAGAUGGACACAGACGCUCAGACGGUGACCAGUAAAGGCAAGCAUGACCUGAUGAUGAAGAGUGAGGGUAAAAGUCGAACAGGUUUCUUCAAGCAAGCCAAGAAGUCCUAUCCAAUGUUUCCUUUCUCAGAAGAGAAGCUAAAAUGGGAUGACUACGGAGAAAUUAUCAGACCAGAAGAUUACACUAUCAUAGAUGUUCCUCAGACAGACGAAGAUAGUUCUGCAGAAAAUGUGAAGAAACAGGAUAGUGCAAUUCAAGACUUGUCAGAGGUGCCCACAAAGUGUGUUGCUGCCACAGUGACCCUCGACAUCAACGCCAACAUCCAGUACAUCGAUUUUGAGGGGCGGUCCGAUGGAGAAUCUAUCAAGAAAAUUCUCUCCCAAAUCAAACCAAGGCAGCUAAUACUGGUGCGAGCCACUACAGAGGCCACUGAAGCUUUGGCUGAAUAUUGUAGAAAAAACGAAGGGGUAGUACAGGGGAAGAUCUUCCUCCCACACAUAGGUGAAGUGGUGGAUGUCACUAGAGAGAGCCACAUCUUCCAGGUGCGACUGAGAGACUACGUGGUGUCUGCUCUUGAGUUCGCAAAGGCUAAAGAAACGGAGCUAGCGUGGAUCGACGGCAUACUGGAUAUGAGUCGUGGAAAGGUAGAUACAGGGGCCAUGUAUGAUGCAGAGGAAGGGGAGCUCACAGAGGAAAAAGCCAGAAAAAUACAAGAUGGUGUCUUGAAUGGAGAGGAGGACCCAAUGGAAGUGGUACCGACAGUGGAGGCCUUACCACACAACCAGUUUGUGGGGCAUAAAGCUGUGUUUAUCAAUGAGCCCAAACUCUCCGACUUUAAACUUGUCCUUCUACAGGAAGGCAUCUCGGCCGAGUUCAUUGCUGGUGUGCUUAUCUGUAACAAUAAUGUGGCUGUUAGAAGGAACGAGGCAGGCAGAAUACAGCUGGAGGGGACAAUAUGUGAGGACUUCUUCAAGAUAAGGCAGAUUCUGUACAGUCAGUAUGCCAUUGUGUGAUGGAUUGUGGUUCACCAGACAGUCUGGACUAGACCAAGACAUCAAUUCUAUGUGUUGUCACACAGCUAUUGUGUACAGCUGGGAUAAGCAAUUCCAUACUGCAUCACGACAUUGUAUGGAUUAAUUCUUGUUUGACACUCUGCAAAUUAAGAUCUGACCAUUCCUUCACUGGAAAUAAUAGUUUACAGAAACUUGUACUGAAACUUGCACUGAAAGUUGCACCAUUAGAUGUUUAUACCAAUUCUGAUAUGUCAUUAUGUUGAUUGAAAUAAAAAAUUCAGACCAAAUUUUUAAUUCACAAAGAAUAUGUGUUUCAUUGUACAUAUGUUUAUCAUUUUCUCAUUCUAUCUUGAAAUAAGAGUAUGUAAGAAUGUGUAACUGAAAAAUCAGUUUGAAUGCAUGUCAAGAAUAAAUGAUAUGUACCAUC
rnacentral:misc_RNA from 1 species